AUGGCGGAGGAAAUCCCAGUUUUUGAAUGGGUACCCUUAAUAGAGGGUCAUGGAGAUGAAGGAGGCGCAAACAAAACAAGCUGGUGGAAGAAAGUGUUGGACAUGGAGGAGGCCAAGAAACAGGUCUUGCUUUCAUUGCCAAUGAUUUUUACCAAUCUUUUCUACUAUUUGAUCACUUUGGUGUCAGUCAUAUUUGCUGGCCAUCUUGGGAAGCUUGAGCUUGCUGGUGCAACCCUUGCCAAUUCAUGGGCCAUUGUUACUGGCUUUGCUUUCAUGGUUGGGUUAAGUGGAGCUCUUGAGACGCUUUGUGGACAAGGGUUUGGUGCAAAGUUGUAUAAAAUGUUGGGGAUCUAUCUACAAGCCUCUUGCAUCAUAUCUUUCCUAUUCUGUUUCAUCAUAUCUAUAAUCUGGUUCUACACAGAACCUAUACUUAUUUUACUCCAUCAAGAUCCUCAAAUUUCCAAGUCUGCUGCUGUUUUUAUGAAAUUUCUGAUUCCAGGGUUAUUUGCAAAUGGAUUCCUGCAAAACAUCUUGAGAUUUCUUCAGGCACAAUUUGUUGUCCUGCCAUUGGUCUUCUCGUUCGUCCCCCUUGUUAUUCAUUUCGGCAUUGCUUAUGGUUUGGUACAUUGGACAGCUCUUGGUUACAAGGGAGCUCCACUGGCGGCUUCAAUUUCGUUAUGGUUAUCUGCCCUUUUGUUGGCCAUGUAUGUCAUCUGCUCAAAGAAGUUUGAGCAUACAUGGGAAGGCUUUUCGUUAGAAUCCAUAGCAGCAUUAUUAUCUAUAGGAGUAUGAGAUGGAAUUUGCAAGGUUAAACUCACAAACCUUUUUAACCUUUCCAGUUUGGAGGAAUGGGUUUUUGAGAUUCUGGUGUUGAUGGGAGGAGGAUUGAUGCCAAACUCGGAAGAAACAACUUCACUAAUGGCGAUGUGUGUGAAUACAGAAGCAAUUGCAUACAUGAUUAUAUAUGGCCUCAGUGCUGCUGCAAGGUUGGAGCACAAAUUGGGAGCUGGCAAUCCUGACAAAGCUAAGAAGGCAAUGGCUGUGACUUUUAGGCUCUCUAUGCUUCUUGCUUUAGUUCUUGUUCUCGCUCUAGCGGUCGGUCACAAUAUCUGGGCCCUGCACGAAGUCCAAUGGGAGUACUGA